rnacentral:rRNA from 1 species
CAGUAGCCGCGGUAAUACGUAGGGUGCGAGCGUUAAUCGGAAUUACUGGGCGUAAAGCGUGCGCAGGCGGUUCGUUAAGACAGAUGUGAAAUCCCCGGGCUUAACCUGGGAACUGCAUUUGUGACCGGCGGGCUAGAGUAUGGCAGAGGGGGGUAGAAUUCCACGUGUAGCAGUGAAAUGCGUAGAGAUGUGGAGGAAUACCGAUGGCGAAGGCAGCCGCCUGGGCCAAUACUGACGCUCAUGCACGAAAGCGUGGGGAGCAAACAGGAUUAGAUACCCCCGUAGUCCCUGUCUCUUAUAC